rnacentral:rRNA from 1 species
UACGUAGGGUGCAAGCGUUAAUCGGAAUUACUGGGCGUAAAGCGUGCGCAGGCGGUUAUGCAAGACAGAGGUGAAAUCCCCGGGCUCAACCUGGGAACUGCCUUUGUGACUGCAUGACUAGAGUACGGUAGAGGGGGAUGGAAUGCCGCGUGUAGCAGUGAAAUGCGUAGAUAAUGCGGAGGAACACCGAUGGCGAAGGCAAUCCCCUGGACCUGUGACUCG